UACGUAGGGGGCAAGCGUUAUCCGGAUUUACUGGGUGUAAAGGGGGCGCAGACGGCGAUGCAAGCCAGGAGUGAAAGCCCGGGGCCCAACCCCGGGACUGCUCUUGGAACUGCGUGGCUGGAGUGCAAGAGGGGCAGGCGGAAUUCCUGGUGUAGCGGUGAAAUGCGUAGAUAUCAGGAGGAACACCGGUGGCGAAGGCGGCCUGCUGGACUGCAACUGACGUUGAGGCCCGAAAGCGUGGGGAGCAAACAGG
rnacentral:rRNA from 1 species